GAUGAACGCUGGCGGCGUGCUUAACACAUGCAAGUCGAACGGUGAAGGCGGAGCUUCCUCUGCUGGAUCAGUGGCGAACGGGUGAGUAACACGUGAGCAAUCUGCCCCUGACUCUGGGAUAAGCGCUGGAAACGGCGUCUAAUACUGGAUACGAGCUGCGAAGGCAUCUUCAGCAGCUGGAAAGAACUUCGGUCAGGGAUGAGCUCGCGGCCUAUCAGCUUGUUGGUGAGGUAACGGCUAACCAAGGCGUCGACGGGUAGCCGGCCUGAGAGGGUGACCGGCCACACUGGGACUGAGACACGGCCCAGACUCCGACGGGAGGCAGCAGUGGGGAAUAUUGCACAAUGGGCGCAAGCCUGAUGCAGCAACGCCGCGUGGGGGACGACGGCCUUCGGGUUGUAAACCUCUUUUAGCAGGGAAGAAGCGAAAGUGACGGUACCUGCAGAAAAAGCUCCGGCUAACUACGUG
rnacentral:rRNA from 1 species